rnacentral:lncRNA from 1 species
GCGGUAGCGCACGGGGCCACCCAACCGGCCGCGGGCCCAGGAUCCAGGCGUCUGGACCGAGGUUGAGCUGUCGGGAGGGUGGAGGUGAGUUCUGGGCGAGGGGGUGGGGGGGCUGCUGGGCUCCCAGAGAGGAGAAAGGCUCCAAGGUUUGCGGUCCCGUCGCGGGCUGGCGGCUGAGACCCCAUCCCAAACUUCGCGACCCUCGGAGGCAGGACUGGGGACAGAUCUCCAAGCCGCCUCUCUCCAGCAAGCUGAGGGUUUGGAGGGCAGUUGGGGUGCCGACCAGAGGGCUUCCCAUCUGGACUUUUGGACCCCACACUCGCCCUGCGGAGGGUGGGGGUCUGGAGGGAGGGAGGGGAGAGAUUUCUGUGUCUGGGGGUCUGGUGUGGGGCUGAGGACUGCUCAGGCCAGAGGAGGACACCCCAGGGUUGAGCGUGUGUGUAUUUGAGGGGCCGCAGGCAGGGGGAGAUCCCAGGGCCUGUGGUCCAGAAAAGUUCAAGAGUGGCUGGGAUGCCUCAAUGCCAGCCUGUGGGCUGGCCUCCUAAACAGAGACCUCUGCUUUCUCUCUGUGAGGCCAGCUUAGGGAUCCAGGUGGUGUGAGGUCUGGGCUUCCUGAGGUGGCAGUGGAGCCAGGCUUAAAGCUAUUGGGUGAGGGAGAGAGACUGGGAGGGAGGGAACUCUAAAAUACAGACUCCCUGUGAGCGGCAAGGCAGCCCUGGAUCCCCAGAAGGUAAGAGAGAGGUGAUGAGGGUUCUAGGCGGAUGGUGGGAGGGGCUUCAGGCCCCAGGCUGUAUGGGACACAGGUUGUUUGUGAACUGGCUGCUCCCAUGAUGAGGACCCAUGGGGGUGGGGCAGGAUGUAUGGAAAGAAAAUUUGAGGACAGGGAGGGGCCUCCAGAGGCCAUUUCUACCACCCGCUGCCCUGGCGCAGGUGAAGGCAGUUUCCUGACCCCACGGCCUCCCUCUGGUCUGCUCCUUGGGGGAUUCUUUCUCUCUAGAGGCAGAGUGGAGCAGCCCUUUGGAUGCUGUUUCUUUUACUUUUCUUUCCUUUUUUUUUUUUGGUCUUUUUAGGGCCACACCCAUGGCAUAUGGAGGUUUCCAGGCCAGCGGCUGCAGCUCCAAUUUGACCCCAGCCUGGGAACCUCCAUAUGCCAUAGAUGCAGCCCUAAAAAUACAAAAGACAAAAAAAAAAAAAAAAAAAAAAAAAAAAA